CUGAACAGGUAACUCUGAAAAAAAGACCAUUUUCGUCCAGGGACUAGCUGAAAAUGUCACCAUCCAGUCGGUCACUGACUACUUCAAGCAAAUAGGAAUCAUUAAGACAAACAAGAAAACUGGGCAGCCCAUGAUUAACCUCUACACAGACCGUGAGACCGGGAAGCUAAAGGGGGAAGCCACAGUGUCUUUUCAUGAUCCCCCAUCGGCCAAGGCAGCCAUCGAUUGAUUA